rnacentral:rRNA from 1 species
UACGUAGGGUGCGAGCGUUGUCCGGAAUUAUUGGGCGUAAAGGGCUCGUAGGCGGUUUGUCGCGUCGGGAGUGAAAACCCAGGGCUUAACUCUGGGCUUGCUUUCGAUACGGGCAGACUAGAGGUAUGGAGGGGAGAACGGAAUUCCUGGUGUAGCGGUGAAAUGCGCAGAUAUCAGGAGGAACACCGGUGGCGAAGGCGGUUCUCUGGGCAUUACCUGACGCUGAGGAGCGAAAGUGUGGGGAGCGAACAGG